rnacentral:rRNA from 1 species
AACGAACGCUGGCGGCGCGUCUUAAGCAUGCAAGUCGAGCGGCAAGCGGUAGCAAUAUCGCCUAGAGCGGCGGACUGGUGAGUAACACGUGGGUGAUCUACCUUUGGGUUGGGGAUAGCCAUUAGAAAUAGUGGAUAAUACCGAAUACGUUCGUUUGAUUACGGUCAGGCGAGGAAAGGUCCGUUUGGACCGCCCGAAGAUGAGCCCGCGGCUGAUUAGCUAGUUGGUGAGGUAAUGGCCCACCAAGGCGAUGAUCAGUAGGCGGCCUGAGAGGGUGUACGCCCACAUUGGGACUGAGAUACGGCCCAAACUCCUACGGGAGG